rnacentral:rRNA from 1 species
GGGGGUAUGGUCAAUAGCCUAACGGCUGAACCAGCAACUUGGAAGAAUGUAUAGCUAAAGCUAUAUGUUUUUUUUGCAAAAAAAACAUAUUUGAUUUAUUCGUAUAAAGUUCUAGAUAGAAUUUUGAUAAUGACAUUAUCUAUCUAUUAGUCUUGACCAACAUGCGUGCCAGCAGUCGCGGCAAGACGCUAAAGACAAGUGUUAUUCAUCUUAAAUGGGUUUAAAGGGUACCUAGACGGUAAAUUAAGCUUGAGGGGACUGAUUUAACUAGAGUUAGAUGUAAGGGUGCAUUAAGGUACUGUUGAGUGUAGAGAUGAAAUUCUGUCAUACCAGAUUAUUGGCACGGGUAUUGGCGAAGGCAUCACCUUAUGUAAUAACUGACGUUGAGGGACGAAGGCUUUGUAUAGCUAAAAGGAUUAGAUACCCAAGUAGUCUAAGCAGAAAAUGAUGAAUGUCAUAGAUUAAAUAUAAUAUUAUUUAGUCUAUAAAUGAAAGUGUAAGCAUUCCACCUCAGGAGUAAUUUGGCAACAUUGGAAUUGAAAUCAUUAGACCGUUUCUGAAACCAGUAGUGAAGUAUGUUGUUUAAUUAGAUGGUCCACAAAAAACCUUACCACAAUUUGAAUAUUUUACAAGCGCUGCACGGCUGUCUUCAGUUAAUGUCGUGAGAUUGUGGUUAGUUCCAUUAAAUUAACGUAAACCCUUACUUUAUUUUAUUUUUAUAUAAAGUAGUUCGCCGUUAUAUUGGUUGUAUAAAAGGGAGUAAGACAAGUCAUCAUGGCCUUCAUAUUGUGGGCU